rnacentral:rRNA from 1 species
CCUACGGGGGGCAGCAGUGGGGGAUAUUGCACAAUGGGCGAAAGCCUGAUGCAGCGACGCCGCGUGAGGGAAGACGGUCUUCGGAUUGUAAACCUCUGUCUUUGGGGAAGAAAAUGACGGUACCCAAAGAGGAAGCUCCGGCUAACUACGUGCCAGCAGCCGCGGUAAUACGUAGGGAGCAAGCGUUGUCCGGAAUUACUGGGUGUAAAGGGAGCGUAGGCGGGAUGGCAAGUAGAAUGUUAAAUCCAUCGGCUCAACCGGUGGCUGCGUUCUAAACUGCCGUUCUUGAGUGAAGUAGAGGCAGG